rnacentral:rRNA from 1 species
AGGCAGCAGGCACGCAAAUUACCCACUCCCGGCACGGGGAGGUAGUGACAAAAAAUAACGAUACGGGACUCAUCCGAGGCCCCGUAAUCGGAAUGAGAACACUCUAAACACUUUAACGAUGAUCUAUUGGAGGGUAAGUCUGGUGCCAGCAGCCGCGGUAAUUCCAGCUCCAAUAGCGUAUAUUAAAGUUGUUGCGGUUAAAAAGCUCGUAGUUGGUUCUGCGUGCCACGCUGUCGGUUCACCGCCUGUCGGUGCAACUGGCAUGCCGUGGCAUGUCCUGCCGGUGGCCGAUAGGCUUCUCGGCGGUCCCUAUGCGCUUCAACGGCGUGUAGGUGUCUCCGCCGCGUCGUCCUUGUAGGCCGACUCAAUCCUACCGCGGUGCUCUUUACCGAGUGUCGAGGUAGGCCGGCACUGUUUACUUUGAACAAAUUAGAGUGCUUCAAGCAGGCUAUUAAAUGAGCCUGAAUAGUGGUGCAUGGAAUAAUGGAACAGGACCUUGGUUCUAUUUUGUUGGUUUCCGGAAUCCAAGGUAAUGAUCAAUAAGGACAGGCGGGGGCAUUCGUAUUGCGACGUUAGACUUGGCAAAUGCUUUCGCGGUGAAAUUCUUGGAUCGUCGCAAGACGCACUAAAGCGAAAGCAUUUGCCAAGUAUGUCUUAAUUGAUCAAGAACGAAAGUUAGAGGCGCAAAGGCGAUCAGAUACCGCCCUAGUUCUAACCAUAAACGAUGCCAGCCAGCGAUCCGCCGACGUUCCUCCGAUGACUCGGCGGGGAGCUUUCCCCGGGAAACCAAAGCUUUUGGGUUCCGGGGGAAGUAUGGUUGCAAAGCUGAAACUUAAAGGAAUUGACGGAAGGGCACUACAAGGAGUGGAGCCUGCGGUUUAAUUUGACUCAACACGGGGAACCCUACCAGGCCCGGACAUUUGAAGGAUUGACAGAUUGAUAGCUCUUUCUUGAAAAAGUGGGUAGUGGUGCAUGGCCGUUUUUAGUUGGUGGAUUGAUUUGUCUGCUUAAUUGCGAUAACGAACGAGACGCUCACCUAUUAACUAGGCGUUACCGGUAUAUACAUAGCUACCGGCGAGAUUUAUUCUUCUU